rnacentral:rRNA from 1 species
UCCAAUAGCGUAUAUUAAAGUUGUUGCAGUUAAAAAGCUCGUAGUUGAAUUUCGGGGUCAGUAGGUCGGUCGUGCCACUGGUAUGAACUGGUUUCACUGAUUCCUCCCUCUUGUAGAACCGUGAUGCCAUUAAUUUGGUGUUGCGGGGAAACAGGACUGUUACUUUGAAAAAAUUAGAGUGUUUAAAGCAAGCUAACGCUUGAAUACAUUAGCAUGGAAUAAUGAAAUAGGACGUCUGUCUUAUUUUGUUGGUUUCUAGGAUGGACGUAAUGAUUAAUAGGGAUAGUUGGGGGCAUUAGUAUUCAAUUGUCAGAGGUGAAAUUCUUGGAUUUAUUGAAGACUAACUACUGCGAAAGCAUUUGCCAAGGAUGUUUUCAUUAAUCAAGAACGAAAGUUAGGGGAUCGAAGACGAUCAGAUACCGUCGUAGUCUUAACCAUAAACUAUGCCGACUAGGGACCGGAUGAUGUUAAUUUUUUAAUGACUCAUUCGGCGCCUUACGGGAAAC